UUCUACUGAAAUGCCUAGUGAAAGAAUGAGUGUGAGAGAUGUUCUCAAAGAAUUACACAAGAUAAGAAAUGUAUUUAUUGGGGUUAGGGGGCAAAGGCAUUAGUAUAGAAGAAGAAAUGAUUCUUAACUAAAGCCGCAUCUGUAGGUUAUUUUGAUGUUCUAGAAUUUUCUUUCCCUCACUUUUCUUCUCCCCCGUCUUUUAUUUUCUGAAUCUGUAUUUGUUAAGCUAGAAUCGGCAUGAAAGUGGUUGUACUUGUGGCAUUGCCAUAAAAUAUUUAUAACUAGUUAAGGUUUCUAUAUGUUUAUAUGUAUGCCUUCUCUAUCUAGUUUUGUCAUAGUUUUGUUUUUUGGGUUAUGUUCUUUAGUAGUUCUAUUGUACAUUAGGGAGCUUGGCUCAAAAAAAAAAAAAAACUGAUGCCAUAGAAGCUAAAAGAGAAAAACAAAAACAAAAAAAGAUUUAGCUCAUAAUAUGAUGGAUUAUGAAGUUAUCAUACCAAUAUCACUCAUAUAAAUUAUUGAGCAACGGGAAAAAUGUUUCAUUUAUGUUGAUUUCACUCUCAUCAUAUAUUAAUCUAAAACUUAUUCCGAUGGUGUAAUGGUAUCAGUGACAUCUUGGUUAGAUGCAAAACUAAAACUUAAUCAAUGUAUAUAGCUAAUGGGAAAUAUGAAUAAUCUUUAUUAUGAGGAAAACAAAGAUUUACUAGUAGAAAGUGUUAAAAAAAUAAAAAACACAAUGCCAGCAACAAUCUUCUAGUCUAUAACCUACCUAUUAAAGCAGGAAAAUCUGCCUCUAACAUCAGUGUGUCUAACCCAAGUGAAAUGGAAAAUUCACCCUUGUUGAAGAUUGCUGAGCAAGAUCUCCGUCAGUUGGGUCUUCUCCAGCAGGCUGUUCAUCACCUCUUCCCGCGUGUGUUGCUGCAGCUUUCCACUCAGGCUUCUUCCACAAGUUCUGCUAUUUUAAGAGGUGUAAACUGUUGCCUUGCUACAAACUACUCUGAGUUUGGUCCGAGAAACAAAAGAGGCAUGGCAUUCCUCAACUUCCAUAUUCCAGUAGCUGUGAAUUCCAUUUCUUACUUCCAUUGUCCUAUGUUUGCUUCAUUGAAAAUUGUUUCAGAUGUCUGCUUAUGAGCUGGGUUAGUGCCGACAUUGAAUUGAAUUUAUUUUUUGUUCAAAUUAAUGUUCAUGCAUUUGUGCUUUGGUUUGAAGUUCUUAUUAAUAUCUGUAAAUGAAUCCCUUAUUCCUACUUGAGCCUCAACAUUUUAAGCUUCAGUUGAAAUUGUUGUUUUUAAAUAAGUACUUAAGAACAACAAAGUCAAUAGUUGAUGUCGAAGCACCAUUAAGAAUAAUAGGAAGACAAUAGUUUUUUAACAAAAGAAGAGAAGGCAGUAGUUCAUUUAAAUUCAAUUAUCUGCCUUUGUUCAAGUGAGCAUUCAGUAAAACAAAAUAGUAAUUUGCACAAGCUAUUGAAAAUUCCUUGUUUUGGUUUUGUUGGUUGCUUGGAGUUUGUUUGAAUAUAAUUUGAAUUAGUUUUCUUUGUGUUUUAAUAAAAUUUGAAUUACCAAAACGAAUUUUAAAAAUUGAAUGUUUGUAACUUUGUAAAUGCAUCGUGUUGUGUUUAGUCUUGUGUGGAUGCAACAUAACUUGACUUUAGACGAGUUCAAUUUCAAAGUGUUAUUUUAGAGUUGGUUUUGUGCCAAUUCAAAUGGCUAACAAUUUUUUUCUUUUGUUUCUCAAUUUACCUUUUUCGUAUUGCUAAUGAUAUGAAACAUAGUUCAAUUUACCUUUUAAGCAUAGUUUUAGUUGGAUUUUCUCUGUGAAUGAAAAGAUUAGAGAAGCCAUCGUUCCUCAAGUAAUCUUUUCAAAGAUUUUAAUUCUGGUGAGAGGUGAAUUUCAAAUCUUUUAAUCUUAGUUGCUUUCCUCAUGCAUGCAAUAUCUAAUUGUCAUGAUAUUAGGUGACAUUUGUGAGGUAGUUUGGAUGUUUUGCAAUCUUACUUGGACUGCUUUUAUAGGAUCUGUAGUGAAAUAGUAAAUAUUAGCAAUUCAGAACUCUUUCAGCGCCAACAGUAAAUAGUCCUUUCAAAAGAUUUUUAGUAGAACAACAAAGCUAACCCUGAAGUCAGUUUAGGAUCUAAAUCUGCCCAGAUAUGGAGAACUCUUAGUAAAAUAAAACUUCUUUUGUUUUAUAGCCGCGUAGUUGAUACCAAAGGUAUGAAUAUUGCAAUUUCCAUUUUUUGUUUUUCAAGAAUAUUUUCAAACUCAUCCAUUUUAUUUUAUUUUUUUCAUUUCAAACUCUUCCAUUUUCAUCAUUAGAAACACAAAUUCUUGUAUUGCAGGUUUGCGUAAUUAUAGUGAAUUCUCCAGGGCACUGAAUCAAGAAAGGCAACAUAAAUGUCAAUAAGGCCAUAUUUGUUGACUGUAAUCAUAGCUAGAAUACUAUAUUUGGAGCAUAUUGAGUUACUUGGGUUUAAGCUCGAUUAGGAGCUUUUUUUCAAUGCCAACUUCUAGAGUUCUUUUGAUUUUUCAAGUUGAUCCCAAACUUGACUCAUUAAGCACCAAGAAACCAUCCUUCUACAUGAACCAAGCGACUUAAGCUUGGGAUUGGUUUCCACUCAAUCAAAAGCCAAGCUUGAUAUUUUUUAGCAACAUAAAAGAAAAUGUCAUUUUCACAUCAUCUACUCCACCCAAUCCAUUUACCUUUAAUUGAUUAAUUUCUUACCUUUUUUUUUUUCUUCUCAGGUCUUGGGAACAUUAUUCAUUGUAGAGAAAGGAGGUGGCUCCUAAAUUUCGUUCAAUUCAGGGAAAAGCCUUUUGAUUUCUCUUACCCCUCUCUGAUAUAUGUGCAUAGCAAAAUCAUGAUAAUUGAUGACUGUAUAUCCUUGAUAGGAUCAGCUAAUAUAAAUGACAGGAGUUUACUUGGAUCAAGAGAUUCUGAGACAAAGAAUUUGUUGAUUCAUGUAUGGGAGGAAAGCCUUGGAAGGCAGGAAAAUUUUCUUCGAGUCUUCGCCUUACGCUAUGGUCUGAACACCUUUGUCUUCCAGCUGGAGAGGUUCUAAAGCUUGCUUGUUCCAUCCCAUGUGCUUAGUGAAUAACUUGAAUGAUGAUGACCUUCAUCUGUUAGUAUUGAAAGCUUGUGAAAAUCAAGUCCAUUGGUGCAAGUGCAUGAUAUAAGUCUUCAUGAACCAUUUCCGUCCAACAAUGAAAAUGGAGUAACGAUCAAAACAUGACAGGCAGUGGUUUUUCCAUAAAGAUUGCUUUUCAGAAUGUGUGGAAGGAAAAUGUCUCAAAUCCCAUAAUAAUAGUUCAAUAUGAUUACUAUUAGCUGGUUCCAAUCAAAACCAGGGAAUUAAUGACCAGUGGAGCAUAACCAUACGUGUAACCUUUGACAAAGUAUUGGCUGGAUGCAAGAAGGGAAAAAAACUACUUAACUAAUCCAAAAAGUAUUUUCGUUUUUCUAGGACAACAAGAGACUGAUUUGUUUUAUGGUUCCCAAUUUCGUAAAUGUAAAAUGUGAUUAUAAUUAUUCAAUAGAAAAGAAGAAAUAGUGUGUA